CAACAGCUCAUUCAGACCCCUCUGCACCCUGGGACACACACAGAAGUGCUUCUGCUCCCCCGCACCAGCUGGGAAGCCUCCCGGACACCGAGUCCAGGAGGAGAGGGCUAGAUUACAGAGGAGGAGAAGGAAGAAGGAGAAGCUGGGUCCCACGUGGCGCCAGGAGCUGAUGGGCUCUAAUCCACCCUGAGCCCUGGGAGAUGGAUACUUUUGGCCUUUUUUAAAGGGUAAUGUGAUUUGCUGCAUGUGUACCUGCUCUGGUCCAGGCAUCUACCCAAAUGCCACCCGUCCUGAGAAGUCAGGGUACAGAACCGAAGGAGAUGAUGGAUUUCCCCAAAACGGAGCUCCCUGCAGGCAGCCAGCACCACUCAUCGGAAAUGAGAGUGAGCCGUCAAGGGAGCCCUCAUCAUUCCAGCAGAGGGUAUCAGGGACGGCUGGCUGUCCCCACAGAGCACAGAAUCUGAGCACAGUGAAUUGCUGGCUCACACCACUGAGUUCUGGGGGUGACCGAUGACACAGUGAUAGUGCCCAGGAGAAGCUCUGAACCCUAAGAUGCUGUCCACACAGAAGGUGUGGUCAGCACACCUGAGUUCGGCAUCCUGGGGUUGUGUUGGUGACUGAGGACAUAAACUUGUGUCUUAGCCUGAUUUUCCCCUGGUGCAGAGGAUGGGACGGGGUUGGGUGUAGGCACACUCAUCUGGGAAGUGACCCUGGGACCCCGCACCAGGGACUUGAAGAACAGAACUGGGAGGUGACCUGGCCAACCCAAAGGUGUGUUAUUGAGCUGACACCACUGUGAGCAGUUGAGCUGCCAUAGUAGUUGGGGUGUGGGGUGUUCCUACCUGAGGCUCAUGUGUUGAAGGCUUGGUCCCCAAAAGCAAUGGAGCCAACUGACCAUGGACUGAAAGCUCUGAAACCAUGAGCCAACACUAACCUUUCCUCCUUUUAAGUUGACUGUCAUGUAUUUUGUCACAGCCAUAGAAAGCUGAUGAACAAGGGCAUCUGGUAUCACCUGAGCCCCUCCAAGGAAACAAAGAGUGAGCCCUGGGGCUAUGGGGAGGGUCUGUUUGCCCAGGACCCCACCAGCUGAGAGGGGCCCUAGGGAUGUCAUCGCCUGGCACCUGUCAGUUUGCUGAAGGCCCACGUGGCUUAGCAGCUCUGCUUGGCUGCUCCAGGGAGCCCAGGGGAGAAGCAGAUCAGGCAGUGAGGCCCCAUGUGUGAGGGUGUCAGGCUGUGGGGAGAACUCAGAGAGCCGGGCGUUAACAGACAUCUGAUGCUCUGGGCAGGACUGUGGGGCCAGCAGCUUCUGCCUGAGGUACUGGACCUGCAAGGGCAAGGCCCAGG
ensembl:lncRNA